rnacentral:rRNA from 1 species
AUUGAACGCUGGCGGCAGGCUUAACUCAUGCAAGUCGAGCGGUAACAGAGAGAAGCUUGCUUCUCUGCUGACGAGCGGCGGACGGGUGAGUAAUGCCUAGGAAUCUGCCUAGUAGUGGGGGAUAACUUGCCGAAAGGUAAGCUAAUACCGCAUACGUCCUACGGGAGAAAGGAGGGGACCUUCGGGCCUUUCGCUAUUAGAUGAGCCUAGGUCGGAUAAGUUAGUUGGUGAGGUAAUGGCUCACCAAGACCGCGAUCCGUAACUGGUCUGAGAGGAUGAUCAGUCACACUGGAACUGAGACACGGUCCAGACUCCUACGGGAGGCAGCAGUGGGGAAUAUUGGACAAUGGGGGGAACCCUGAUCCAGCCAUGCCGCGUGCGUGAAGAAGGUCUUAGGAUUGUAAAGCACUUUAAGUUGGGAGGAAGAGCAGUUAACUAAUAUUUGACUGUUUUGACGUUACCGACAGAAUAAGCACCGGCUAACUUCGUGCCAGCCGCCGCCGUAA